AUGGCGUCCCAGGGUCGUCGGCGGAGGCCCCUGCGGAGGCCGGAGACGGUGGUGCCGGGGGAGGCGACCGAGACGGAUUCUGAGCGCUCUGCGUCCUCGUCGGAGGAGGAGGAGCUGUACCUGGGUCCUUCGGGCCCGACGCGCGGCCGCCCCACGGGGCUGCGGGUGGCUGGGGAAGCCGCGGAGACCGACUCGGAGCCGGAGCCGGAGCCGACGGCCGCGCCGAGGGACCUGCCUCCACUCGUGGUGCAGCGGGAAUCGGCGGAGGAGGCCUGGGGCACGGAGGAGGCCCCGGAGCCCGCCCCCGCGCGCUCGCUCCUGCAACUUCGGCUGGCGGAGAGCCAGGCGCGGCUGGACCACGACGUGGCGGCCGCCGUGAGCGGUGUCUACCGCCGUGCAGGCCGCGACGUGGCCGCCCUGGCUAGUAGGCUGGCGGCAGCCCAGGCGGCGGGGCUGGCCGCGGCCCACAGCGUGCGCCUGGCGCGCGGGGACCUUUGUGCGCUGGCCGAGCGUCUGGACAUCGUGGCUGGCUGCCGCUUGCUGCCGGACAUCCGCGGCGUGCCAGGGACCGAGCCUGAGCAAGACCCGGGGCCGCGGGCCUAGUCAUGAUUCUACUUCCCAACCUGACUGCAAUUUGGGGAGCGGCUUCACAGCAGGACCACAGGAGUCAUUGUGGCCAACUUCGCUGGAGGCUUGGAGAUCUUUGGGGCCAUUAAGGCAGAGCUGCAGGGCCUAGAGAUUGAGAUGCUGGUGAACAAUGUGGCAUGCUGUAUGCGCAGGGACGCUUGAGGAAGCCGCUCGACUGUGAGAAUGUCGCCAGAGUGAAACCGAGUCCUAGCCCACCUGGCACCUCUUCCUCCAACUCUUUACUGCCAUCUGUUGGAAAACCCACAUAAUAUACAAAGGAGUCUCUCUCUGUGGCCACCACUGCUCCAGGCCCAUGGCGGGUACUGCCUGGCUACUGCUGAUGUUCACUCAAGGCCCAGGCCCUCUUCAGUCAGCUUGUGGUGAGUGCUGCCAGGCCUGGGUCUUUUCCUUCAGGGAAGAUGGCUCCCCUCUGGCCCAGGGCAGGUCCAGAAAUGCUGUGCAAGAGCCAAGACCUCAAUUGGGGAUGCCAGCAGCCGCUGGGUGCUCUACCCCACUGUGGCCAAGCUGGCAUCCAAGAUGCAAGACAAAGUCUCCUUUACUCUUUCCUCUCUUUUCCUCAAGCAGGAGUCUUUCCCCAGGGCCACCACAGCUGGGAAUGCGCUGGGUCACACCUGAAAUCAGCACGGCCCUGGGUCUCACCCAAGGCCUGCGGCGAGCACUCUCUGGCAACCACUGAUGUUUAUUCAAGGCCCAAGAGAUCUUUAGUCAGCAAGUAAUGAAUCCUGCCAGGACUGGGUCCUUCGUUUCAAGGCAGCGGCUUCCCUUCUGGUCCAGGGUGUGUCCAAAAAUGUCAUCCAGGAGUUAGGGCCUGGAAUGGGGGCCUCAGGACUCUGCCUGGUGCCCUAUCCUCCUAUGGCUGAGCUGGUAUCCAAGUUGCAAAACAAAGACCUCUUGACUUUUCGUCUCCUCUUCUCAAGCAGAAGGAAGGAGUCUCUCCCGGAACUGCAAGCUAUACUGCCUGGGGUUUGGGGCUCGGGGGCUCAAGCACUCCCUUGGCUGCCUCAGCCAAUGUCUCAGUGGGCCUCAUGCCCUCCAGGUCCACUUGUUCUGAGCCCAGCAAGGCACCAGGACUUGCCCAGGAAUUGCAGUCCUUGUGGCCUGACUGCCUUUCAAGUUUAUUUAUUUAUUUAUUUAUUUAUUCGAGAUGGAGUCUUGCUGUUGUCCGGGCUGGAGUGCAAUGACGUGCUCUUGGCUCACUGCAAUCUCUGCCUCCUGGGUUCAAGCGAUUCUCCUGCCUCAGCCUCCUGAGUAGCUGGGAUUACAGGCGUGCGCCACCAUUCCCGGCUAAUUUUUGUAUUUUUAGUAGAGACGGGGUUUCACCGUGUUGGUGAGGCUGGUCUCGAACUCCUGACCUCGUGAUCUGCCUGCCUAAGCUUCCCAAAGUGCUGGGAUUACAGGCAUGAGCCACCGCGCCCAGCCUCAAGUUGAUUUAGGGUCCCAGAGCACUUUGGCCCGCAGUGGCUAGGCAUGCCAGAACUCAGGUUCUCACCACUAGAAUGGAUGAUUUCCCUCUGUCUAAUGAUCAUUUAAAUGCUCCCUCCGUGGGUGGUGUCUGAUUUCUGCCCCAUGUUGCUUUCCGCUGUAAUAGAACAGCGCUGAGUUCCAAUGCAAAGCCUCAAUCAGUCACUGAGCUCUCCCUACCCCAAAUGCACAGAUUCUCUCUGCUUGCCAUCUGACUGCUGCCAGGAGAUGUGGGAGGGGUGGCAUUUUGGGGUGGCACCUCACCCCAAAAGCCCAUUGGCUUAAAAUAGCCGUCCCAUCCCAAAAUCUCAGACCACCCCAAAAGCUCAUUGGCUUAAAAUAGCAGUCAAAUAUUACAUCUCAUGGUUCAGUGGGUUAAGUGGGUUUAACCAGUCAAUUCUUUUUUUCUUUUUUUUUUUUUGAGAUGGAGUCUCACUAUGUCGCCCAGGUUGGAGUGCAGUGGCGCGAUCUCGGCUCACUGCAAUCUCUGCCUCCCUGGUUCAAGCAAUUCUCCUGCCUCAGCCUCCUGAGUAGCUGGGAUUACAGGUGCUGGCUACCACACCCGGCUGAUUUUUGUUUUGCCUUUUUUUUUUUUUUUUUUUUCUGAGAUGGAGUUUUGCUCUUGUUGUCCAGGCUGGAGUGCAGUGGUGUGAUCUCGGUUUACUGCAAACCUCUGCCUCCUGGGUUCAAGCGAUUCUCCUGCCUCAGCCUCCCGAGUAGCUGGGAUGACAGGCACCCACCACCACGCCCCAGCUAAUUUUUUUGUAUUUUCAGUAGAGACAGGGUUUCACCAUGUUGGCCAGGCUGGUCUUGAACCCCUGACCUCAGGUGAUCCAUGUGCCUCAGCCUCCCAAAAGGCUGGGAUUACAGGUGUGAGCCACUGCACCCUGCCAAAUGAGCCAAUGAUUGGGUGGAGUUUCUCAACUAGUUGCAUUCAGAUGGCAGCUGGGGCUGGAGUCAUCCAAAGGCUCAGCUGGGCUGGAAAUCCAAGAUGGCGUCUUACAUGUCUGACAUCUCAGUUGGGAUGGCUAGAUCAGCUGCGGCUGACCAGUUAUCUAUCUCUCUCUCCAUGCAGCCUCUUGCCAUGCCCAGCUUCAGCUUCUGCAUAGCAUGGCAGUCUCAGGAUAUUCAGAAUUUUUUUUUUUUCCCAGAUGGAAUCUCACUCUGCCACCAAGGCCAGAGUGCAGUGGCAUGAUCUUGGCUCACUGCAGCCUCCACCUCCAGGGUUCAAGCGAUUCUCGUGCCUCAGCCUCCUGAGUAGCUGGGAUUACAGGCAUGCACCACCAUGCCCGGUUAAUUUUUUUGUAUUUUUAGUAGAGACAGGGUUUCUCCAUGUUUGCUAGGCUGGUCUCAAACUCCUGACCUCACGUAAUCCCCCCGCCUUGGCCUCCCAAAGUGCUAGGAUUACAUGUGUGAGCUGCCAUGCCUGGCCGAAAAUAAUAGAUUUAUACCUAACCAUACUAAUUGCAUUGACUCUAAAUUAUGUAAACAUCCAAUUAUAAGACAGAGAUUUCAGACUAAAUGAAAAAGCAUGACCCAACGCUAUGCUGCCCACAGGAAAUUUUGUGUGUGUGUGUGAGACGGAGUCUUGCACUGUCGCCCAGGCUGGAGUACAGUGGCAUGAUCUCAGCUCACUGGAACCUCCACUUCCCGGGUUCAAGCAAUUCUCCUGCCUCAGCCUCCCAAGUAGCUGGGAUUACAGGCGCCCACCACCACACCCGGCUAAUUUUUUGUAUUUUUAGUAGAGAUGAGGUUUCACUAUGUUGGCCAGGCUGGUCUCAAACACCUGACCUUGUGAUCUACCUGCUUCAGCCUCCCAAAGUGCAGGGAUUACAGGCAUGAGCCCUGCACCUGGCCAAAAUACACUUUAAAUAGAAAGACGUUCUGUACAAAAGUUAACUCAAAAUGGACCACAUCACUAAAUGCAAAACUUAACAUUUCUAGAAGGAAACAUAGGAGAAAAUCUUUGUGACCCUAGAUGAUGCGAAAGUUCAUUAUGUACAAGCAUGAUCAUAAGAGAAAACCUUGAUAGAUUAGAUUCCAUCAAAAUUAAAAACUUCUGCUCUUCAACAAACAUUAUUAAGAGAAUGAAAAGAUAAGCCAAACAGUGGGAGAAAAUAUUUGCAAAUUACAUACUUGAUAAACAACUAGUAUCCAAAUAUUUUAAGAACUCUUAAAAGUCAAUAGCUAGAAAACAAACAACCCAAUUAUUUAAAAAGGGCAAAUGAUUUGAAUAAACACUUCACUAACGAAGAUAUGCAGAUGACAAACAAGUACACAAAAAGCUGCUCGACAUCCUCAGUCGUUAGGGAAAUGCAAAUGAAAACCACAACAUCACUCUCCACCUAUUAGAGUGGUUAUCAUGGAGAAAAGAGGCAGAGUGAUUGCUUGAGGCCAGGAGUUUGAGACCAGCUUGGGCAACAUACAGAGAUACCGUCUCUACAAACAUAAAAAUUAGGGGCCGGGCACAGUGACUCACGCCUGUAAUUCCAGCACUUUGGGAGGUCGAGGCGGGCGGAUCACCUGAGGUCAGGAGUUCGAGACCAGCCUGGCCAACAUGGUUAAACCCCGUAUCUAGUAAAAAAAUAUAUAUACCAAAAAUUAGCCGGGCAUGGUGGCGUAUGCCUGUAAUUCCAGCUAUUUGGGAGGCUGAGGCAGGAGAAUUGC